GGCGGCGUAGCCAAGCGGUAAGGCAGAGGUCUGCAAAACCUCCAUACAUCGGUUCAAUUCCGAUCGCCGCCUCCA
rnacentral:tRNA from 1 species